rnacentral:rRNA from 1 species
CCUACGGGGCGCAGCAGUGAGGAAUAUUGGUCAAUGGGCGCGAGCCUGAACCAGCCAAGUCGCGUGAGGGAAGACGGUCCUAUGGAUUGUAAACCUCUUUUGUCGGGGAGCAAAAGACGCCACGCGUGGCGUUCCGAGAGUACCCGAAGAAAAAGCAUCGGCUAACUCUGUGCCAGCAGCCGCGGUAAUACGGAGGAUGCGAGCGUUAUCCGGAUUUAUUGGGGUUAACGGGUGGGCAGGCGGAAGAUCAAGUCAGCGGGAAAAUUGAGAGGCUCAACCUCUUCGAGCCGUUGAAACUGGUUGUCUUGAGUGAGUGAGAAGUAUGCGGAAUGCGUAGUGUAGCGGUGAAAUGCAUAGAUAUCACGCAGAACUCCGAUUGCGAAGGCAGCAUACCGGCGCUCAACUGACGCUCAUGCACGAAAGUGUGGGUAUCGAACAGGAGUAGAUACCCCUGUAGUC